UGGGGAAUAUUGCACAAUGGGCGAAAGCCUGAUGCAGCAACGCCGCGUGAGGGAAGAAGGUCUUCGGAUCGUAAACCUCUAUCGAUGGGGACAAAAAUGAUGGUACCCAAGUAAGAAGCCCCGGCUAACUACGUGCCAGCAGCCGCGGUAAUACGUAGGGGGCAAGCGUUAUCCGGAAUCACUGGGUGUAAAGGGUGAGUAGGCGGUUUGGAAAGUCACAUGUGAAAUGCAACGGCUUAACCGAUGCACUGCAUGAGAAACUUCCGGACUAGAGUUAAGAAGAGGUAAGCGGAAUUCCUAGUGUAGCGGUGAAAUGCGUAGAUAUUAGGAAGAACACCGGUGGCGAAGGCGGCUUACUGGGCUUUAACUGACGCUGAUACACGAAAGCGUGGGGAGCAAACA
rnacentral:rRNA from 1 species